rnacentral:tRNA from 1 species
GCGGGAAUGGCGGAAUUGGCAGACGCGCUAGGUUGAGGGCCUAGUGUCCUUUUAGGACGUGGAGGUUCAAAUCCUCUUUCCCGCA